rnacentral:rRNA from 1 species
UACAGAGGGGGCAAGCGUUGUCCGGAUUUACUGGGCGUACAGCGCGCGCAGGCGGUUGCGUAUGUGAGCGGUGACAUCCGCGGGCUCAACCCGCGGCGGCCCGCUUACACAGCGCGACUGGAGGCAGGGAGAGGGAUGUGGAAUACCCGGUGGAGCGGUGAAAUGCGCAGAUAUCGGGAAGAACACCCGUGGCGAAGGCGGCGAUCUGGGAAGAUACUGACGCUGAGGUGCGAAAGCGUGGGGAGCAAACAGG